UGUAAGCUGGGGAAGCAAAAAAAAAAGCACGGAGUGAUUAUUUUUUCUUCCUUUCAAGUAUUCCAGGGAAGAAUUAGGGAGCUGAGAGCAGCAGGAAGGAAAAAAAAUUGAGAAGGAAAGGCUCCCAGAGCAGCACAAAUGGAAGGAGGUGGGAAGAGAGAAAAUGUCUGGACACAGGUUUGGGACAGUGAAAUCCUUAAAGGAAUCUGAAUUCUCCCUGGUGCAGCUGAGAAUUCCAUGGAUUUACACAGGAAAUGUUCAGGUAUUAAAUUUCAGGACUUCUGAAUUUGACAACAAAUCCUUUCUCAAAGAGGUUUCUGAGGCUGCACAGGAAAGGAUGAAACUCUUUGAGGAGAAAGGUGAAAUAUCAAAAUUUGCUAUAAAUGGGGAAAGUGGCUACACUCCCAUGGASAUUAAAGAUGACCAGGACAAGGAAUCUGAUUCUCUACAAUGUCUCACAAGAUCAAAUGUUUUCUCUUCUUCUAAGAUUAUAUCCUUCAAUUUGCUGAUUUUUGACAGCUCCAUGAUAGCCACUGAAGAAAACAUUCUGUCACAAGCUUCUCCUGAAAUACUAAAAUAUUAAAUGUGGUAUUUAUACCACAUAGAUUUACUUUUAAGCUGAAAAUUGAAACAUUUUCCCGCCUCAGAGGUCAACUUUUCACCCUGAAUUACUGACUUGGAGAUUCAGAAGACAGCUGGAUCUUCAGCCCAAAGCUUUUUUUCAGGUAUUAACAAAAAAAAUAGGGAAAGAAAAUCUCAAUUUCCUUUGGAAAAAGAUAUCCCCCUGGAGAUACCUGCCUGUAUUACACAAAAGCAGUUUUUUUCCAACAAUCAACCUUUUAGUCCCAGCAUCUGAAAAGAACAUAAUGACCUGGUUCUGCCCAUGGGAGCAGGAUGGAGGAAAGGGAAAGUAUUUCACAGCAGAGAAACAAUAACUGCAGCUGAGAUGACCUUCAGCAUUGAGAAAUAAUCUGUAAACAUUGGUGUAUUUAUUGAAAAUGGUGCUUUCCUCRGCCCUGGGCACUCACACAAACAUGUGGCUCUGCUGCAAGCCAAGCAGCUAUUCCUGAGUGCAGGCAUUUGAAGGGCAUUCCAUGAUCAGGCUGCUGCUGGAGUGGCCUGGGGUGGAGAUUUCUCUGAAAAUCACCUCAGAAAUCCAAGUUUUGUUUGAAGAAUCUCCCUCAUAUUAAGCACUCCCUGGACAGCAAACAGGACUGUGGCAGACAGAACUUAACCCAUGUAAUACUAUUUUUUUUUUUUUCAAAUCUCUAAACUCUCACCAUUCCCCCUCCCUUAUUAAACAGAGAAAAAGCAACAUUUAGAAAACUCCUCUAUCAUUUGCAGCAAACCUUGAAGAUGAAGGAAAU